rnacentral:rRNA from 1 species
AACGAACGCUGGCGGCGCGCCUAAUACAUGCAAGUCGAGCGAGAAGACGUAGCAAUACGUUUGUAAAGCGGCGAACGGGUGAGGAAUACAUGGGUAACCUACCCUCGAGUGGGGAAUAACUAGCCGAAAGGUUAGCUAAUACCGCGUACGCUCCUUGGACUUCGGUUCAGGGAGGAAAGCGAUACCGUGGGUAUCGCGCUCUUGGAUGGGCUCAUGUCCUAUCAGCUUGUUGGUGAGGUAACGGCUCACCAAGGCUUCGACGGGUAGCUGGUCUGAGAGGACGAUCAGCCACACUGGCACUGCGACACGGGCCAGACUCCUACGGGAGGCAGCAGUAAGGAAUAUUGCUCAAUGGCCGAAAGGCUGAAGCAGCAACGCCGCGUGGAGGAUGAAAUACUUUUGUAUGUAAACUCCUGUAAGAAGGGAAAAUAUGCAGUUAUUC